rnacentral:tRNA from 1 species
GGGAGGAUUCCAGAGUGGCUAAAUGGGGCAGACUGUAAAUCUGUUGGCGACGCCUUCGGAGGUUCGAAUCCUUCUCCUCCCACCA